CACUUGUCUCCAGCAGAGCGAAACGUAGGUUUUUACACCGGAUAACGUCUAAGAAGACUUCAUGGCAACUUCGCGCGUAAUAGUCAUAUUACAUAAGGCUUCUAUAUUUUAUGAAGCUAAUAUCGAACUUCAUCAAUUUGCUCAACACCUGCUCAUAUUUGAAAAAGACUGCAUGAAAUAAGCUCACGAAGGACGACAACUUUUAUUUGCACAACUUUUCGUUGAUGCCAUAUUCAAAUAAAAGGAAGUAUAACCAGUUGUCGUCUAGCCAGAAUUCGAUUGGCUUUACACGCAAUACGUGAAUAAUUGGGUUGGUUCUGCAACAGAAACACUGUCAGUAAACCUCGGAAAGUGUGGCCACUCCGAAGCAUCAGCCUUCCGACUUCAUGAGCGAAUUUCCACAACUCUUCAUUGCCUGGAAGAACUGCUAGAAAUCAUUUUACGAAAGUAAUUCCAGCGCUGUCACAAUGUUGCACGGUAUAUCUUCAUGCGGUUCAAGUUAUACUUUUAAUUUAGGGAAUAUUAACAAGUCACACAGUUCGAAAUUAUACGAGCAAAUUAGUACCAAUGCGCUUUGCGAUUCCAACUGUAAUACGUCGUUCAUAUUACGAAAACACUUUUUUUCGCGAAUGCUGCCAUUUCAAAUGCAUGUGAUCCAUCCAUAUUUGUAUUAUGAACAUUAAUCUUAGGGUUCAACUUCAUUUGCCAGUUUUGAAGUUCGGAUACCGCUUCGGCCAUCGACCUGUCCUCUACACAGCGUGUGUCCUGCACAGAUCCUUUGAGUUUUUAGUGCUGAAACUAUACGAGUGCGUCACCACUGUGCACGUUAACUAAACAAACCCCUCCAAUAAAUCCAAUUAACGGUGGAGCAUCAACAAGCCCCAUCUGUCAUCAGCUCGGCCCUUUAAAUGCGAGAGGAACUCACCACAGGAUGCAAGACACAUGAAUUUCGUAAGGUGGAGACCAGUGAUGUGAUCAAUCCUGAAUAAAACUACCGCACAGUUACCACACAGAAACUUAAUGACCUGGAAUCUUAUAUUUGAAAAGUUUGAGGAUGACUAUUGGACUGAAGGUCUUUGCAAGUCAGUGCUCCCUAUUGUGAACUGAUUCAAGUAAUCAAUAAUUACUAACUACAGACAUGUGAAGAUAGCUGUCUUCUGGGAUGUUGCGCCGUGUAGUCUGGUACAUACUGGCCGAGGUAAGAAAAGUGUUUACUGUUUCCAUCAUGAGGGCGAUGAGAUAUGUGACUUUUUGAAGUAAAACUAUGAGCAACCUCUCCAUUUUAUAUUAUGAAGGCAAUCAAUUCAGGGAGGAUGAGACAGGUAAGACACGCUACACACACGGAAGAAAUUAGAAAUAAAUACAGAAUUUUAGUGGGAAAACCUGAAGUUAGGAGAACUAUUGUAUUGAAUGUUUAGGAGGAUCUUAGAGAACAGGUUGUGAUGAUGUGCACUGGAUACAUCUGGCUGUGGAUAGAGAUCAGUGGCGGAUUUUAGCAAAGAAGGUGUUGAAUUUUCGGUUUCAAUAAAAUGAGGCAAAUUUCUUGACUAACUGAGCAGCGAUUAACUUAUCGAGGGAGAUAAACGGAUUGUUGAAAGGUUUCAUCGCAUGAAAUUAAUGAUUUGUUUCAUUGGGUAUACGUCCUCUGUAGAUCACAUAAACAGAUUAGUUAAAAUUAGAAAUACAGACGAAUUGUGUAUGAACUCAUGAAAAAAAAUAACGCUUUGCAAAGCGCGCCCUCUAGCGAAUAUCAGGACGUACUGUGUUGUAGGUUUGAAGUAAAAGAUGGCGCGAGAGUACAAGUUGUGAUUAUACGGAGUUGUGAGAGCACCUCAUGCAAUCUGAAAUGGGAAACUGUCAGCACAAAUGCGGGUAGUGGGGGCUUAUCUCACAAAAACGCGUCUCAAAUCGGUCUUGGGAAAAAUUAAUUCUAUUGUGCUAUGGCUUCAGGGGGGGAGGGGCGAAAUAAGAGAUGGUCUAAGGACAAGCAAUAAGGAACACCGAAAUGUACGUUGCGACAUAACACGUCUCUAGUACUGAAUUAAAUUCAGAAUUUCUUAUAUGUUCAUUGAUCUAUGUAAUAAAAGAUUAUUCAUUUGCACAUAUUGUUAUUAUUCUGUAAUAGGCCUAGUCUAGGUAAUUUUUUAAAAGUAAUUUAACAAAUUGGCAAACUGUUGUUAAAAUAAGAAAGCUACACAAGUAAAUUUAACUAAUAAAGUUUUAUUUUUA